CGUGGCCUGGCGCAGCCAGGGGUUUAUUUCUAUGGCCUGUCACACUGCCAUUGUGAAGCAGCGUAUAAAUAGAAUUACGGAGUGUGGAGAUUUCGCUGUCUGCCUUCAUCCCCUCGCUGUGGUGCUUUUGAGCGUCUCCUUUGUUGGCGCAGGUGAAUUUAGUCUUGAAGCAAGAGGAAACACCUGCGGGUGACCUGGCUGGGCGGAAGCUUGACCAACUGAUAUACGCAAGGAAUCAUGGGAAAACGCCAAUCAGCCCUAUAUUUGUUUCUCAACUAGAGCGGAUCAAGCAGCCACAGGAGUGUCUGGUUGAAGCCACAGUGAGGAUGGUGCAGGGCCCUGUUCUGUAGUCCAGGCAUGCUUGACACUCAACAUGAAGCCCCAACGGCCUCAAGCAUGGAACGACCCUCUUCCUUCAGCCUCCCAAGUAACGGUGAGCCACCAAGUCGAGUUCUAAGUUCUUUCUUCUUUUAAGAAAUGGUGGCACGAUGAGCUCUGAAGAAAGAACAAGCUACAAACUCAUGGGGACGGCCCUGCCAGGACGUCCUGGAGCUGCCUCUCCAGUGCCUGGAGCAGCCCAGCACUCGAGGCACCAGGGAGCUGGGAGCUUGGGCCGAAGGGGCAGCAGACGCUGCAGAACGCACUGGGCUCUGGUCAGCAUGCAGGCCCGGAUCGACAUUCCAAGAUUUCCUCCCACUCUGUCUUCACAAGUGGGUCCUCCAUGGUCGAAACACCACAGCGUUUGAAGUUGAAGAACAAGCAAACGAAAGGUUUGAUGUCUGACGUUCAGAGUGAACAAAGUGUACCAGGGGAGGCAAGAUGUCCCUUCGGACACUGAAGAACUGCUACACCCCCAUGCAGAGAUGGGCCACGUGUAAGACUCCUGACUAGCCCGAGUGGCGAUCGUUUGGUGUCAGUUCUCGGCUGGCUAUCACUGUUAUUUUGGUGGUCAGCUGGAUGCAGACUCUCUUAUUUGAGGAAAAAGAUUAAAACAAAACACUGGGGAAUCAAUAGUCUGAAUGAGCAACAGAUUUCUAACUGACCAACCAAUCUGAAGCAUCUUCAACGGAAGUAUGGCUGGUCACAAUACAGAACUUCGGGCCAACUCAACUCUGCAGACAGCUGGGGCAAGAAAGACAGGACAGUCCCCACAGACUACGCUGUGAUGGAUCAAGUCACAGCUGGAGGCACAUGUGGUCUUUUUCCAAGAGGAAGGGACCACUGUUGGCCAGCCCUUUUACAGUCCCGUCAGAUUCAUGCAGAACCGUAAGGUGGAACCAAACGACACAUACUGCCAUUCCGUAAAAUGCGAGGAGGGGGAGAAGGUUAGCGGCCAUCCAUCUAUCAGUGGGUCCUAGGAUUCUGGUGCCUCUCGGUGCCUUUGUUGGGUGGUUGGGGCUCAGACUCCCAAACUGUGGAUCACGACCUGUAACUCAAUGUGCUGACUGUGGAGUUGUGCUGACUGUAAAAGGUUUUUAAACAUGGGGCAACAACAACAACAACAAUAACAACAACAGAUUAAUUCAGAGUCAGAUAGGCAGCAGAUCUGGUGUUCUGUUAGGAUGAUUGAUUUUAAAAAUUGCUGUUUGCUUAGGCUGGAGAGAUGGCUCAGUGGUUAGGAGCACUUGCUGCUCCUCCAGAGGACCCAGGUUCUAUUCUUACCACCCCUAGAGUGGCUAAGAACUGCAACUCUAAUUUCAG
ensembl:lncRNA